rnacentral:rRNA from 1 species
UACGUAGGGGGCAAGCGUUGUCCGGAAUCAUUGGGCGUAAAGAGCGUGUAGGCGGCCCGGUAAGUCCGCUGUGAAAGUCCAGGGCUCAACCCUGGGAUGCCGGUGGAUACUGUCGGGCUCGAGUCCGGAAGAGGCGAGUGGAAUUCCUGGUGUAGCGGUGAAAUGCGCAGAUAUCAGGAGGAACACCAAUGGCGAAGGCAGCUCGCUGGGACGGUACUGACGCUGAGGCGCGAAAGCGUGGGGAGCAAACAGG